CAAGAGUGCAUUCCUGGUCUGUCUGAUAAGCCUGACAAGGAGCUUUGUGCCAGUUGGUUUUAUUACGCAUGUUAUUCUCCUGUCAGCAGCACUCAGUGUUCACCUAGAAUCAGAAAUAUUGGCUGUGAUGCUUCAUGUGAUUCCUCUGUACCAACGAGCAGCAAUGAAACUUGCCAACAUUGUCAUGACAUUGAAAACUGUUAUCAUCAAAAUGCUAGUGCAUGUCGCAGCUGGGAUGAAGAUCGCUGCCCGUAUGGUCGAGUUACACCUGACUAUGGCCAAGGUUCACACGGUCCCAAAAUCCCCAGUCACCUUCCAUUUCCGUCAUCUAAUAAUUUUCAGCCAGUGAAACGUCAUGCUGGUAAACCUCACAUUGACCGACGCUCUUCCGUUGACCUCUUUU